rnacentral:rRNA from 1 species
AUUUAGGAAACGGAUAAAGUCCAAUUUUAAGCCUCUUCAUAACAACAAAUAUCUUUACAGACUUAAAACUUAUUCAAAUAAGGUACAGCCUAUUUGAAACAGGGUACAACCUACAACAGCGGGUAAUAUUUAUAAAUAUGACUAAGUGGGCCUAAAAGCAGCCAUCUUUAAAAACGCGUUAAAGCUUCAUCAUCCCCUAUAAAAAUUCCAAUUAAAAUUUAAAUCCCCUCACUAAUACUAAAUGACUCCAUGUCCUCAUGGAAAACCUUAUGUUAGAACUAGUAACAAGAAUUAAAUAUUCUCCGACAAACGUAAGUGUAGGCCGAUAUGAAUACUCACCGGCACUUAUCGCUAUGAACCUAAAAUAGUAACCCCGCUAGAAAAUACUACUAAACCCCGCGUUAACCUAACACUAGAACCUUUCCGGAAAGAUUAAAAGGGGAAGAAGGAACUCGGCAAAUACCAGCCCCGCC